CCAUGAAGUUCACUCUAAUCUGCUAGCUGGAAAAGAUGUCUUACUCCACUGAACCUGAGCAGUUCUCUAAUCCAUAUGCCAUUUGUCACUUUUCCUUUCCAAUUUUGUAUUACAGGCAUAAUCCCAGGUGUAUUGAUUAGGUCCUACCAGAAAAUAUUUCUUCAUCCCACCAUCCAGAGUUCCACAGUAAUACAGAGCGGCAUCAUUUUCAGUAAAUAUAGCCUUGGAUAAGGCUUGGGGAAGAGGCCAGAAAAAGUCCAGAUGAGUCCAGCUCGGUUUGAAGUUCUGCAAUGCAAAUGGAGACUACCAUUUCAGAAGCACUUGAGGUAAAAGCAGCACACCUAAUAGAACAAUAUUCACAUUGGCAAGCCAUAGAGAAUGACGACAAAUACAUGGAAGCAGAACCAUCCCAGCCAUCAGAACUUGAAGCAGACAGCAAGGCUGCCCACUGCCCACUGAUUUCAGCCAAGAUCAGCUGGUACUCAGCUGACUCAAAGAUGCUUGAAGUGACUGUUCUCAUUCUGUGUUUUGAGUCUAUUGCACAACAAUUGCUGAUUGGCAUAGAUCCUGAACACUUAAAAACAGGUUGCUGAUUUCAGAU
ensembl:lincRNA